rnacentral:rRNA from 1 species
ACGGGUGAGUAACGCGUGGGUAACCUGCCUUAUACAGGGGGAUAACAGUCAGAAAUGGCUGCUAAUACCGCAUAAGCGCACAGAGCUGCAUGGCUCAGUGUGAAAAACUACCGGUGGUAUAAGAUGGACCCGCGUUGGAUUAGCUAGUUGGUGGGGUAACGGCCCACCAAGGCGACGAUCCAUAGCCGGCCUGAGAGGGUGAACGGCCACAUUGGGACUGAGACACGGCCCAGACUCCUACGGGAGGCAGCAUG